UGGGGAAUAUUGGACAAUGGGCGCAAGCCUGAUCCAGCCAUGCCGCGUGAGUGAUGAAGGCCCUAGGGUUGUAAAGCUCUUUCGCCAGGGACGAUAAUGACGGUACCUGGAUAAGAAGCCCCGGCUAACUUCGUGCCAGCAGCCGCGGUAAUACGAAGGGGGCUAGCGUUGUUCGGAAUCACUGGGCGUAAAGCGCACGUAGGCGGAUCUUUAAGUCAGGGGUGAAAUCCCGAGGCUCAACCUCGGAACUGCCUUUGAUACUGGAGGUCUCGAGUCCGGGAGAGGUGAGUGGAACUGCGAGUGUAGAGGUGAAAUUCGUAGAUAUUCGCAAGAACACCAGUGGCGAAGGCGGCUCACUGGCCCGGUACUGACGCUGAGGUGCGAAAGCGUGGGGAGCAAAACAGGAUUAGAUACCCUGGUAGUCCACGCCGUAAGCUAUGGGUGCUAGCCGUUGGGCAGCUUGCUGUUCAGUGGCGCAGCUAACGCUUUAAGCAUCCCGCCUGGGGGAGUACGGUCGCAAG
rnacentral:rRNA from 1 species